rnacentral:rRNA from 1 species
GUGAGGAAUUUUCCGCAAUGGGCGAAAGCCUGACGGAGCAAUGCCGCGUGAAGGAUGAAGGCCUAUGGGUUGUAAACUUCUUUUCUCAGAAAAGAAUUAUGACGGUAUCUGAGGAAUAAGCAUCGGCUAACUCUGUGCCAGCAGCCGCGGUAAGACAGAGGAUGCAAGCGUUAUCCGGAAUGAUUGGGCGUAAAGCGUCUGUAGGUUGUUUAAAAAGUAUUCUGUCAAAGAUUAGGGCUUAACCCUAGAUAGGCAGAAUAAACUUUUAAGCUAGAGUUUGGUAGAGGCAGAGGGAAUUCCCGGUGGAGCGGUGAAAUGCGGAGAUAUCGGGAGGAACACCAAAGGCGAAGGCACUCUGCUGGGCCAAUACUAACACUGAGAGACGAAAGCGAGGGGAGCAAAUGGGAUUAGAUACCCUGGUAGUCC